UACGUAGGGGGCGAGCGUUGUCCGGAUUUACUGGGCGUAAAGCGCGUGUAGGCGGUACUCUAAGUCCGGGGUGAAAUCCGGGGGCUUAACCCCCGAACGGCGCCGGAAACUGGAGCGCUUGAGUGUCGGAGAGGGGAGUGGAAUUCGUCGGUGUAGCGGUGAAAUGCGUAGAGAUCGAGAGGAACACCCGUGGCGAAGGCGGCUCCCUGGCCGAACACUGACGCUGAGACGCGAAAGCGUGGGGAGCGAACGGG
rnacentral:rRNA from 1 species